AUGCAAGUCGAGCGGAUGAGAAGAGCUUGCUCUUCGAGUUAGCGGCGGACGGGUGAGUAAUGCCUAGGAAUCUGCCUGGUAGUGGGGGACAACGUUUCGAAAGGAACGCUAAUACCGCAUACGUCCUACGGGAGAAAGCAGGGGACCUUCGGGCCUUGCGCUAUCAGAUGAGCCUAGGUCGGAUUAGCUAGUUGGUGAGGUAAUGGCUCACCAAGGCGACGAUCCGUAACUGGUCUGAGAGGAUGAUCAGUCACACUGGAACUGAGACACGGUCCAGACUCCUACGGGAGGCAGCAGUGGGGAAUAUUGGACAAAUGGGCGAAAGCCUGAUCCAGCCAUGCCGCGUGUGUGAAGAAGGUCUUCGGAUUGUAAAGCACUUUAAGUUGGGAGGAAGGGCAGUAAGCGAAUACCUUGCUGUUUUUGACGGUUACCGACAGUAUAAGCACCGGCUAACUCUGUGCCAGCAGCCGCGGUAAUACAGAGGGUGCAAGCGUUAAUCGGAAUUACUGGGCGUAAAGCGCGCGUAGGUGGUUCGUUAAGUUGAAUGUGAAAGCCCCGGGCUCAACCUGGGAACUGCAUCCAAACUGGCGAGCUAGAGUAGGGCAGAGGGUGGUGGAAU
rnacentral:rRNA from 1 species